rnacentral:snoRNA from 1 species
GGCGAUGAUGAUCUUGUAUACUGUUUUUCUGACACCUCUUGUUUGAGAGCCUCGUCGUUCGAUGAACUCAAUACGCAAACCACUGAGCU